GAGUCCUACGGGAGGCUGCAGCAGGGAAUAUUGCACAAUGGGCGAAAGCCUGACGCAGCAACGCCGCGUGGGGGAUGAAGGCCUUCGGGUUGUAAACCUCUUUCAGGAGGGAAGAAAUUGACGGUACCUCCAGAAGAAGCCCCGGCUAACUACGUGCCAGCAGCCGCGGUAAUACGUAGGGGGCGAGCGUUGUCCGGAUUUAUUGGGCGUAAAGGGCUCGUAGGCGGUUCAGUAAGUCGGCUGUGAAAGUCCGGGGCUCAACCCCGGAAAUGCAGUCGAUACUGCUGUGACUAGAAUCAGGUAGAGGAGAAUGGAAUUCCCGGUGUAGCGGUGAAAUGCGCAGAUAUCGGGAGGAACACCAGUAGCGAAGGCGGUUCUCUGGGCCUGUACUGACGCUGAGGAGCGAAAGCGUGGGGAGCAAACAGGAUUAGAUACCCUAGUAGUCC
rnacentral:rRNA from 1 species